UCAGCUCAAUAUAACAAACUUGUGGUUAAAUCUGUAGUAAAAUCCCAAUAUUUGCCCAAUAAACUGCAAAAAAAAAAAUCUUAUAAUCCUAUAUUAUUUAAACCAAAAGUGGCUUGACACCCUGACAAUGGUUUUUCUUCAGAUUUUCAAAUUACCCCCAUCCCAUUUUCAUAAAUUUUACAUACCAUUAUUAUUAUUAUUAUUUUGUUUUGUUAUUAUUAUAGUUUUCCUAAUAUAUUAUAUAGAUUUGAUUCAAUCAUAGGGCUCACAAGAAAACAAGAAGUGUUGUAGAGAGAGGGAUAGGCCAACUUAAGAGAAGAUUCCAUGUUCUGCAUGGAGAAAUCCGCCUUUCUCCAGAAAAGGUGUGCUAAGUCAUCAUUGCUUGCUGCGUUUUGCACAACAUAUGCAAAUCUAGACAGAUACCUUGCCCAGCUGAUGAUAGUGGGAAUGAUGAUGAAAAUGUUAACAACCAACAAGAUGAUGGGCAUGCUACUGGUAAUCAUCAGAACGGUCAAACAGAAGGACUAAGGUACAGACAACUAUUUGCAGAAAAUCACUCUUGAUUGGUUAAUGUCCCUGCUGCUAUUGCCUGAGGUUACCAAUGGCAAUGAAGACUCCAGGACAUAUGUUACUUCUAGGGGAGUUGAUCCAAGAAUGUGGGGAUCUGUAUCUGGAGGUCCUUCAAUUACAUGGAUUCCCCUAUGAUGGGAAGAGGAAUACAUUAUUCUUUAUGAAUCUUGUAUUAAUCCAUUUGAGAAUGAUUAAAUGAUGACUUGGAUGAUUAGUUUAAUAAUUGUUGUUCUAUUUCUAUUUUGAUGUUUAUAUGAUAUAUCAUUAAUUUAUUUACACAAAUCAAAUUACAAACAUUAAUUCUGUCAUGGUAGAUUCCAAUCAAUCAAAGAAUUUGACACCUAUUAUGAUACAAUUUUAAAUAGUAAAUGAUGUUACUCAUUAA